UCAUUUCUCAUGUUACUGUUAAAUAAGUAAAAUCACGAGAGAGGGCAGCACGGAUCUAAUGCUUACAAUGCUUUUCGUCAAUUUUACUUUGGAAUCUCUUUAAAGAAUAUAUUUUAAUAAUUCUUCAAAAAUAUUUCUACAUGUAUAUUGAAUCCAUAUGCAUUUGUAUUAAAAAAUCUGAACACGGAUGCAUGUGAGUAAAUAAAAAAGCAAGAGAGCGUACGAAUGAGCAAUCCCCGGCUUCGAAUAGCUUGCGCAACAGCUCGAACUCAUACUCAGUUACAGCGGAUGAACUUUUCCGUAUUGGGAAUGCUUAUGAAAUAAUCUACGAGGAGGAUCGGCCGCUUAAAGGUUCACUCGUGUCUUUCACCAACUUCUAGGACUCGAAGGAAAAAGAGAAAGGAUAAAACGUUAAAUUAUACAUUUUUUUUUUUAUUUAAAGGUAUAUAUAUAUGCUUUUUUUUUUCUUGUUAUCAAAGAGAAUAUAAUUCGUUUUAAAUUAGAGAAUAUGCGCGCGAAUCUUUCGAGAUCACAUCGAUCUUGAGAUUUUACUAUUUAUUCAUAGACAAACAAUUCAGUAGGAUCGGGAUGAUUGCGGAAUAGAUGCGUCGCGUAAGCUAAGCCAAUCAAGUUGCGCAAAAGAUAUCGUACAAGUGGAUGAGAGGAAGACGGCAACCGACAACCAUCGAGAAGAGGAUCGCCAGAAGAAAUUCUCUGGCGUAACGUCGACCUCCGUUCUCUACUCCCUCCCGUUCGAGACCGUUUUCCCUUUAUACUCUCGAUGGUAAAGUUCCAAUCGCGCUUCCAUCGCGAUGUGCUCAUGUGCCACCUCUGUCGCCUGUUGCCGUCGCUGCCGUUGCGAGGAAACAAGACGAGUACCAAGAGAAGAAGGGAUGGACCAGGACAGGAUGAGAAGGGUGAAGAGAAGUGUUCUUCGAGAGUUCAUCGCUUAUUAUGUAAGCAACACCUGCGGUCUGCAUCCGUGUUCUGUUUCCCGGUAACAGAGUGCAUCUUCUUUUCUGACUCGAUCAAGAAAUAGGAGAAGAGGG